GGUGGCUUAGUGGUAAAGCACUUGCCUCGCAUGCAUGAGGCCCUGGGUUCGAUUCCUUAGCACCA
rnacentral:tRNA from 1 species